rnacentral:tRNA from 1 species
AAGAGGGGAGUAGAUGUGGUUCUACUCGAUACUUUAUUAUCGAAUAGGGGAGCGCCCCUCCUCUUU